UUAUGUUAUUCAUUAAUGUGUAGGUACAAUCUUGUUUUUUAAAAUGUACCAAUAUCAUUGUCAGGAUUUAAUUUAGAAUAGGGGGAAGAGUGAGUAAUUUGGAUUCAAUUGUUAGGGAACAGUUUAACUGAGCGUAAUUGCAAAAUUGUUUAUGGUAUUGGAGGCCAAAACACUAAAAAGGAAUUUACUCGAGCCUCGUGGGGAUUUAUUUUAGUUUAUGAAGAUUAAAUAAAAAAAGGUUAUAUGUUGUAUGGCCUUUUAAUGUGGGCAGAGCGUAUACAAGUUUUAAUGGUCGAUUCAUGACAAUGCAAAAAUUUUACCUGUGACCUUUUUAAAUUUUUUUAGUUUAAGUUUUCUAACAAUUACUUUUAUUUUCGAAUAAAAGUAAGUACACACAGUUUUUAUUUUUCGGACCGUCAGAUUAAUAAAUUUCUGGAGACCGCGUCUGGGCUAAUGUAGUGUAGGACGUACUCCGGCCCGUUGGACCGACGAUCCAGCAGUGGACUGCAAUAGGCUGAACUGGCUGACUGACUGUCUCCACAUAAAUGCCAGACUAUGGGUCACAGUACGUCAGUCGACGAGAACAUCAAGAUGAAACGUCUGUAUAGCAUAAUAAUUGACGAGCU
rnacentral:misc_RNA from 1 species